rnacentral:rRNA from 1 species
CGGCAUGCUUAACAUGCAAGUCGAACGGCAGCGCGGGAGCAUCCUGGCGGCGAGUGGCGAACGGGUGAGUAAUACAUCGGAACGUGCCCAAUCGUGGGGGAUAACGCAGCGAAAGCUGUGCUAAUACCGCAUACGAUCUACGGAGUGAGGGCAGGGGACCGCAAGGCCUUGCGCGACUGGAGCGGCCGAUGGCAGAUUAGGUAGUUGGUGAGGUAAAGGCUCACCAAGCCGACGAUCUGUAGCUGGUCUGAGAGGACGACCAGCCACACUGGGACUGAGACACGGCCCAGACUCCUACGGGAGGCAGCAGUGGGGAAUUUUGGACAAUGGGCGCAAGCCUGAUCCAGCCAUGCCGCGUGCAGGAUGAAGGCCUUCGGGUUGUAAACUGCUUUUGUACGGAACGAAAAGGCUCUUUCUAAUAAAGAGGGCUCAUGACGGUACCGUAAGAAUAAGCACCGGCUAACUACGUGCCAGCAGCCGCGGUAAUACGUAGGGUGCAAGCGUUAAUCGGAAUUAC